rnacentral:rasiRNA from 1 species
AGCUUCAUCCAAGCGAA